UAUUCGAAUGGGUAUUCGAGUACAAAUAAUCGCAAAACUAUCAGCUCAAGUUAACGAUAUCUUUGGGUUACAACAGUAGGCUUGCGAUUUGAUGUACAGAUUGUCACCACAGCAAUUUAACGACAAAAAGAUCAACCAAAACAGUUUACUCUCCCAUUCAUGCAAUUUAUCUACAACCAAUAGCUUUCAUUAAACAUUCAGCUCUCACCCAGUCAACUUUGUAACCCUUAACCGAUUAUUGAAAUUAAAUACAUGAGCAGAUAGUUAUGAUUGUUCAGUGUUAAAUUGUGCAUUGAGUGUUGGAUUAAACCAUGCCAAUCUAUUAGUUACGUUCAUUACAGUCUCACCAUUGUGAUUGGAGAUUUUUGGUGAAAGAUCAAAAUGUCUUAUGUUUACACAUCUUUUGGGAUUAUGACCAUCUUUUUGAGUGAGAAUUCCAGGACAAAGGAACUUGUUGGUAAAAACUUGAGAUGAUUUCGAUUAAACUCAGGGUUAUAUGAUUUAAUAAAACAUCUGUAUUGAAUUUAUCAUGCAUCAAACAAAUUUUCUCGAUAGGAUUUGGUUUUACAUUUGAUUAUUUGAACUGUUCAUUUACUGAGUAAUACAAAGUGAAAAUUGACUUUCCAGGCUGUGGACAUGAAGAGUUACUGCGCGUCAAAGAAAAGUCAUAUAUUGACAAUUUUCAAAUGCAUUAGUCAGUCAUCAACUUCAAUUGGUAUUGUUUCAAAAGCUGGUAAACUGACAUUUCCCUUCGGAUCAAAAUCUUAUUUUCGCUUAUUAAAACAACUAUCAUUUUCUAUUGUUAUUUUUGAUACUUUUGUUUCAAAACUAGAAUGAAAAUUACAAUUUUUAUGAUGAUUGUUAACGGGCUACACCGGUAACCAGCCAUGAGAGCUAGACGCUUAAUGAAAGCUAUUGGCUGUAGAUAAAUGAUGUCAACAGGUAAAUAGAUAAGCAAAUGAUUAACAGUAUCUUUGGGUUAAAAUAUCAGACUAUGAUAUUUACAGAUGCAAAACUGUACCCACAACAAUUUUUUACCAGUCGAUUAAAUCGAUUUUCCUUCCCAUUCAGCCAAUUUAUCUGCAACCAAUAGCUUUCAUUGAGCAUUUAGCUCUCACCGAGUCAACUUUGUAACUCUUUAUACAAUUAGUUGAAACUCAAUGAACUACAUGAGCAAAUUGAAUUGUUUCUGUAUGUUGAUAGGUGUAUGUAGAUGAACAAAACCGGCAAAAAUAAUCAAAAUGAACCAGACUCGACAAAAUUCCACAAAAAAAUUCCAAUGUUUAACAAUUGAUGUUAAUAUGAGUCCAUUUAAGAAAAGUUUGACGAUUAGCGAAGUGAACCAUUGACAUUUUCAAAUCCGAUACAGUUGACAAAACACGUAAUCCAAAAUAUACAAUCAGAAUUACUCUUAAAUUGUCGCUGUUGAAAACGCUGUUCACAUUUCAAACAUGUUCUUUGUACCAGAAGUAAUUUCAAUUGAAAGCACAAUUUAUUGCAAUUGGUUUUAUUGUUGAGACACUGAAAAUUGAGAACUAUUUUUAAGGAUUCACAUCGAAAUGGAUUAUAUAAAUUAACUAUUUCCAUCAAUGUGACCAAUUAACUAUGCUGAGAUAGUUUGAGCGUUUCUGAUUAUUUUAUUUUAUCGCAACUUUUAUGGUUGUUCAAUGUUAGAUUAGGCAUUGGGUGUUGAAUGACCAUUUCAAUCUGAAUAUUCAUUGCAGUCAAUCCUUUUAUGAACUGACUGACGUUUAGAUUUUAUUCAUCUGUUAACUUUAUAUUUGAUUUCACACAUUACACUUGACACUAACAUCUUUUUUUUGAUGAAGAAAGCAAAGAAAACGGAAGUAGCAAUGCAAAUAAUGAAAAAUUUAAUUGUUUAUCGUUGUAAAUGUAGUAAAAUCAUAACAUUGUUUCAAUUGAGAUUUUAGGCUUUUCUCUGUAUUUGUCUAUCCAGGGUGUGGACAUUAUUUUGACGAGAAGUCGAUUGACAACAGUCCAUUUUAGGUAUAUGCUCUAACUAAAUCAUUCGAAACUUUACAAAGUUUAAACAACAAAUCACAUGUUGAAGAAUUUAAUGAGGUUGAGAACGAUUCGAUCCAGAAUUUGAAGCUUGGAAUAACCUUUUUAUUUGUUCAGUAUAAUUGCCCAUAAGUUGAGUCGAAACAGCAUAUGCAACAAAUUGAAUUAAUGCCACAAUUCCAGCAAGCAAAAGGUCAGUAUCUUCGCUGGAAUUUCCCUUAUUUUCGUCAACAGAACCUGGAUUCAAUAUCUUUCUAGUAAUUUCAUCUCUUUUAGCCUCUCCACGUGCUGCCGCUAUUCCUCUUACCCCUGCAAUUAACAUGGCGGAAAAGAGAUAGAUGAAGAUUCUACAAAUUCUCAAGCAAUUUCUCCAUUGUUUGAUGAUCGCCAUCAAUACGAGUCCGUCAAAGAAAAGCUUCAAGAGAACGAGUACAAUGAUUACUGGAUUGGGAGAUAUGAGUGUUGAUACCAGAGAAAGUCCAUCAACCGUAACAAGGAAUCCAAAAGCUGCUUUCAAAACGGUUUUCGAUUUGCUUUCGACUUUCAUCUCCAUGAUUGUACAACUCAGAAUAUACGAUACGAAACUCGGAAGAAAACUAAAUCAGAAUUUAUUCACUGAAUGAGUAGAGACACUAUGAAAGGACCCACUUGAAGACCACCUAAAUAAAUCAACGACGUAAUUGCACCGACAAAAUUAGCUGUAAUAUGGAACGAAAAUAUUCCAAUCGAAAAUUGACUUUCAAGAAUUGUGAACUUGUACCUUGACUACAAAUUGACAACAUGUAACUUCACUGAAUUAUAAUGAAGACAACUUGAAUAAAUGCAAGCAAACUAA